UUGGCCAGGCUGGUCUCAAACUCCUGACCUCAAGUGGUCCACCCACCUUGGCCUCCCAAAGUGCUGGGAUUACAGGCAUGAGCCACGGUGCCCGGCCCUCUCUGCUCUUUUAAUAGCAGACAUCCUGAGUGUGUGAGGGGGCUGUUUCCUUUUGCUUUGGACCCAUACACCUUCCAGCCCUGCUCACAGCAGGCUCUCCAUGGAGGUUCACCCGUGAACUAGAUUCUGUCCUGAGCUUCCUCCCCUGGUCUUCUGGCUCUUAGGAGGCAAAGAGGCUCUCCCUGUGGGGGACCUUGGGCCUGUGGCCCUUGGGGAUUAUUUACAGCCAGGGCCACCUCUGGCCUCCCCUUGGGCAGGCUCAAGGAUGAGACCUUCUGGGGGAGUGGGAGGCAGGGAGCCAGGCACAGAGUGCACAAUUCUCGCCACCAGGUGCCACCAGGCAAUCUCAGCCUUGUGGCUUUCUGCUGGUGCAUUCAAGUUAACCCACUCAUCAGCUCCCACAGGACCACGGACAAACACACGCCCUGUGACAGUGGAUCUGGGCUCCUUGAGACUGCUGACUCCUUUCCAGCUGUAGGCACCGACUCUGCUCCUGUUCCCAGUUCCUAGCAAUAGGCUUCUUGUCUCCCCAAACCCAGUUCUCUCUGCCCCGAAAGGCUGAGUGGGUGGAAGCAUGAAAAGCCACCAGUGCUGUCUCCCAAAGGCCCUGCACACUCACCCAGGCGCCCAGGAACCAACCACCCACGGACUCAACAGCACAGAUAGGAGAAGGCAUGACAGAAAAGGCACCAAGGAGGUCAUGGAAACAGUAAGCUCUGAUGGAGGGAAGGCCUGGAAUGAUCCAGAACAAGACUGGGGAUAGCAGGUGUUGGAAACAGAUGCUUGGUGCGACAAAGAAAAAAGAGCACUGAGACAAAGGAUUUUUUAGCAAUGCUCUUUUUACUUCCUGUGCUGCAGGAAGGGUACCCUCACUAGCCAUUGUGCCAUGAGACCACUGUGUCUGAUCUCCGUUGGCUGGAGCCAGACCUCACAAUCGAAACUAAAAUCCGGUUGGCUAACAAACUUUAAAACUUUUCCAAACAGGUAAAAGCACUGGAGAGCUGUGACAUGCCUGUGAGCACGUCCAGCACAGAUAUCUUGGCUAGAGCACAAUGCCAUAGAAUGUACUACGUGCCUGUAAGCAUGGCAGGUCUAACAGCUACAGAGGAUAGGGCUCAACAAAGAGCUAUUGGCACACUUAUUCUUUAACAAAAAAGGAAACUUUAAAAAGGAACUUUUCUGCUUCCCACAGCAGGCCUGUGUAAGAACUUUUCUUCUUCCCACCCAGAGGGACGCUUUAACAUGAAUUUAGUGCCACAGAGACCUGGAUUCAAACAGCAGCUCCUGCCGGGUGCGGUGGCUCACACCUGUAAUCCCAGCACUUUGGGAGGCCAAGGCAGGUGGAUCCUUGAGCUCAGGAGUUCAAGACGAGCCUGAGCAACAUGCCCCGCGUGCCUUGUAUUCAAAGUCCCUGUGUGUUCUGCUCACUUGAAACUGACUCAGGUGAGGGGCUGUGCAAACAGCAAAGGCUGAACUGAGGAUCGAAGUCCCUGCAGGAGAACCCGCCCCAGGAAAGGUAAGCCAGGUGUUAGGGCAGGGAGCUUGGCUACCACCGUGAGUGUGAGGAGUUGGGGACUGAGCAGAGCGGUGGACACGGGCAGCCCUCAGGAAGGGCCAUCAUCCUCCCUGCCCGGGCAAGCUCAAGGGCAGCCACAAACAGCAAACUCGAAUUUUCCAUCUUUCAUUCCAGGAAGGGCGCUGUGAGGCUACAGUGGGGAGGGGCAGGGGACCUUGGACCAGGAUCUCUGACUAAGCCUGAGUCAGGGCUGCCUUCCCCUGGUCCCCACCUGCCCUCACAGGCCACUGAGCCACCUCUCCUGGCUCAGCCUCUCCCACUGUUGCCCCCACCCUCAACUCCUUUAGUGACUUCCUCUCCCUUCAUAAAGUCCAGCCUGGCCCCAGACAGUGCUCUGCACCCAACCCUUCCCACUGACUGGCUCCCAUCCUCCCAGCCUAUCCUUCUCCUGCCCCACUACCUCUCCAUACUCCUGUUCCUCGGGUGCUCCCGAUGGCCUCUAACUGUCCUUCAAACCCAGCCCAGUAGCAGGUGCUCCCAAAGGCUUCCUGCCACCCUUUCCCUUCCCUGGAAUAGGAAAGGGAUGAGGAUUUCACUGAGCACCUACCAUGUGCGGGCCACUGUAAUGAAGGUCAUCGCAAGGAAUCUUCACCACAAACUAUGACAUGGUAUUGUCUCAUUUUUACAGGAACCUGAUUGGCCAGCGCAAGAGACCCUAUGACCUCAGGCUCCAGAGAUGGCUCUGCAAAGCAAACCCACCAUGACUACUGGUCAGUGACUCACUUCUCCCAGGAGCCCACCCCAGGGCUUAGCGCGCCUUCACUCGGCCUCCCUUAGCCCUUGCUCUGGUCUCUGUGGGCUGGGUUGAGUGUUCCAGUGAAGAAGUGUGUGGAACACACAUGCCUGGUGCUCACUUUCCUGCCCACGUGUGCAUGUACACACAUAUGUGGGGCCUAUGUGUCUCUUUCUCUGAGACCCACUCGAGAUCUGCAUGCGACUCAGGCCCCUCCCGGACUGUUACAGCCAGAUGCACCUCGGGCACCACCCAUCAUCCCAGGAAAACAUGCCCCUGCUGAAUUCAGAGAAUGCUCCAGAACGAUUCAGGAAAUGAGGACCAUUCAUGAGCACAGUGACUGAUGCAGAGCAUCUGACUCGCAUCCACUGCCAAACUAACCCGAAGGUAAGAGACAGAGGAAAACCCCAGAUGACUGCAAUUUGGGGACACCUCCAACUCAUGCUCACUGCACUUGUUCCGAAAUGAUAAGAGGGGAGAUUUGGCACAUGCUCUGGCCUCACAGGCUCUCAUCACCAUUGUCUCUGCCCCUCAAGGGUAUCUAAGCACCAUUGCCUUCAGCCCCCUCACCCUUAGAACUGACUGCCAUAGGGCUAAUUGCUUAGUCUUCAAGUCAAGGGGGACUUAUGGAGUGGGCAGAGCUGCCUAGAGAGCCCCUUGACCCAAGACACCCCAAAUGUACUUGGGAGGAAAGGCAGGGCUGGGGGACGGAGGCACUGUGGGGGCUCUUUCUGUUUGGCAGGAGCUGCAGCCACACAUGCUGUGGCCACAGCACACAGCAUACAUCUUCCAUCUCACAGUGAUUGAAGAUUUUGCCAAACCACCGGUCAGACAGAUUUCCCCCCGAGCCCCACACUAAUUGGUUUUUGGAUUCUGCAGUCCAAGCACAAGCUCCAAGCUCAGUGCUGAGCUCAAACUCCUGGAUGUCCAAAGGGCUUAGAUGUGGAGGCCAUGACGCUGAAGCCAAAGCUAUCAGACACCUGGGCCGUGCAUGUCUCUGCAGUGAGCCUGGGAAAGCAGCUCUGGGGAUUGCACCCUCGGUGCCAGGGCUGGGGAGCCUCUGGCUCAGGGAGGCCUUCAGGGACAGGUGCUCAGCCAGCUGCCUGGGUAGGUCCCUAAUGAGCAGAUGUGUUCCAGGCUCUCUGCCCAAGGGGCAGCUGCACCUGGGCUGGAGAGCUGAGACUCCCCAUGGCUCUGUAGCCUCUGUCCCCCACAGCCUGGCCCGACAGCCCCUAGUCCUGUUAGAGGAGGGCACAGCUGCCUGCCACCCCUCCUUCCCCAUCUCCGCCUCUCUAAUCUUCCUUGUGGAAGAUUCCAUCGGAGAUUUUAGUUACAUUUUCUACACUAUGCCUGGAACAUAGUAGGUGUUCAAUAAAUGCAACUUUUCCUGAGUGAUUGGUGAGGAAAAGCUGGACUGUGAAGCCUGGCCUGUGGCUUGCCAGCUGUCCCAGCCUCAGGGUCCUCACACGCAGAUGUGAAUACAGUAACAGAGCACUUCUCGCCUGCAACAGUGCCUGGUUCACACUUAAUGCCAGUUAGGUGAUCUGUAUUAUUAUUUUAUCUUAAGAGAGGAAUCCAGCUGUGUUUAAAUGAGAGUUUGGGAUAAAAUAAAAGCUAGAAUCUAGCCUUGCAGGUGGGGACAUGGAAACUGGGUCUCCACCCUGACCCCUGCUGCCCACCCUCUCACAUGCCAUCUAGAGACGGCACUCCUCAUGUAACGCUGCAGGAGGUGCUCCACUGGCACGAAGGGGGUGGGCUCUUAGCACAGGCCCAAACAGUAGGUGACUUUUCACACUCCCAUCUCCAAGCUGUGUGCAAAACACUGAUCUUGACGGGUUAAAACCCAGCUUCCAGGGCCGGGCGUGGUGGGUCACACCUGUAAUCCCAGCACUUUGGGAGGCUGAGGUGGGUGGAUCACUUGAGGUCAGGAGUUCAAGACCAACCUGGCCAACAUGGUGAAACCCCAUCUCUACUAAAAAUACAAAAAUUAACUGGGCAUGGUGGCAGGCAUCUGUAGUCCCAGCUACUUGGGAGGCUGAGGCAGAAGAAUCACUUGAACCCAGGCAGUGAAGGUUGCAGUGAGCCAAGAUCAUGCCAUUGCACUUCAGCCUAUGCAACAAGAGUGAAACUCUGUCUCAAAAAAAAAAAAAAAAAGAACCCAGCUUCCAGAACGCCUCUUUCUAAUCCAAGAAAGAAAGAGAGCAGAUUAGAUGCCAAAGCAUUGCCAGGGUUCAUGGGAAGUCUGCAGAACCAGAACCAGUGGGUAAAGAUCCAAGACAGCCAGACUGCUGUAACAGCACCCCUCUUUAAACAGGAGAGCGCCCCACCCCAGCAUCAGCAAUCCUGCACACGGCCAGUCCCACAGCAGCCCUGCUACUGGGUCCUGGCAUCACCCCACUUUACAGCCAGAAGACAGAGGGCACAAUGACCAGGCAGUUUGCCUAAGAUCCUACAGCCAGUUGGCAGCAGAGGCGAGAUUCCGCCCAGGGCUACCCUGCAUAAAGUCCAGGCUUGAAAUCACAACUCUACACUGCAAAUCGAGAAUCCACCCACAUGGCACUAAGCCAGGAAGCAGCCCUGCCAGGGGACAGAGGGCAGGGCAAGAAAACUGAGGCCACUCAGUGGUGCGCCAAGGGCCGGGAGAAGGGGUUACCACUGUGCCCUUCGCUGGCCUUGCUCAGGGUAUCAGGUUUCAGUGACACCAACACCUGCUGUGGGUGCCUGGAAGUCAGACUCUCUGCCAGUGCCCACCACUCCUGUCCUCACCAUGUUCAGGUGGAAGGACAAAGGAAAGAAACAAACCUGGGAUCACUGCCGGGUUCCUACAUGAGAGAUGAGGACAGAACGGCGGCUACGGCGGAGCCUGCUCACGGAAAUACAGAAAACAACCUCCAAAGCAGGGCAGCAGGCAGCUGCUAGAGAUUUCUCCACUGAGUUGUCUCCGCUUGCGGCUUCCUUUCAUGAGUGGGGACCAGGAGAAACCCCGUCUCUGAUGAAGGUGGAGGAUGAACAACGAACCAGACCCACGCUGCUCAGCACAUCUGAUGGGGCCAGAAACACAGGCUGCAAAGGCUGAGAAAGCCUCUCAGGGGUCAUCUGGUUGGACAGGUGUGAAGACCUGGCUGCACUUGGAAUCAUCUGGGAAGACUUACAAAUAUGGAUUCUCAGUCUCACCCCCAAGGAUUCUGACUUGGUGAGUCUGGGAUGAGGCCUGGGAAUCUGCCCCUGUGUAGCCAGCAGCGCUCCACUUGGACCUGCAUCUGGGGACCCCUGGGACACCCUGGCCCCCUUAAUUAAUAAGCAGAACUAGCCCCAGGGUAGAGAAUGAAUUCGGUGCUUGUCACCUCGUUACAUAAUUUAAGGUGUCCCUAGUUAUGCCCAGCUGACUCGAGCACAGACCUCCCAGUCAUUCUCCUCUCCAGAAGCACAGGGUCGGGCAUGGGAGGGGAGUACACAUCCAUGCGGGCAUCUAUUGAAUGUGCCAGGCCUGUAUCUCUAUUAUCUCGCCUCUAUCCUGUGAAGUAGACUUUAUUAUCCCCAUUUUACAGAUGAGAAAACAGCCUCAGAGAGGCUGAGUCAUUUGGUCAAGGACACAGAGUUGCUGAAAUGACAAGGCUAGCUUUGAACCCAGGUGGUCCCUCCUUUGGCCCAUGUUUAACUACAGCAGGGCGCCCUCUGGGUAGUGGUCUCCUUGGGGUUCCGUUGCAGCCUGGAGCACAAGCUUCUCUCCUGAUCGUUGCCAGAUAGCUUAUUUCCAAUGCUUUUUUUCUGGUUUUUAGUCGACUUUUCGUUGUAUUCAGCCCAGUGACCUCUGGUCCUCUCUUCUGCUCUUUCAGGGUUAUUCAGUGUUUUGUGUUUGUGCACCUUGACUGCACAGAACAGGGGCCACAGGGGACAGGGGCCGCAGAGCAUUGCUUCCCUCCCCGGGGCCUGGUACCUAGCAAGCACUAGCAGGCAGUCUGGCCAUAGCAGCUGAGUGAUGAGUGAACCGCUUGGAGGCUGCACGUGGGCCCAGGCUCUUUUAGGUCUAUCUUCCCUAGAGGCAGCUGUGAAAACACACAAAGCAGCACCCUGAGGCAGCAAUGGGUCCAGCAUGGGAGUCUGAGGAGCUGAAAGAAGCUGAGGUGGCCACAAGAGCCCAGUGGGCAGUGAGGUGAAGCUAGGGAGAUGGGCCAAGGCGGGUCAGCCAGGGCCAUAAAGCGGAUGGAUUUUUGUCCUGAGAAAGCCAGCUUUGACAGGGAAGGGCCAUGCUCCUGCGGCCCCUGGGUUACCAGGCUGUGCUGCCUCCUGUACUGCUAGCUGCCCCUUCAAUCAGGAGCCCCACACUGUUCACGGGGUAACUCCAGGCCCUGGCUUGCAGUGGCAUUUAUUGUUUUGCUGCCUUGCAGCAAAAAAAUGAAGCAUGAAAGGCAACCCAGAGUGAAAUCAGAUUACAGUUUUACAAUGUCUGUGACUCAGGAAACACAUCCUUUGUCCCCUUAGAAUUUAUGACAAAGCCAGGUGAGAGCUGGGUUGAAAAUGACCUUUGUCCAAGAAAAAAAGGUUUUGCUGAGCAAAUUAAGAGUGCGGAUGAGACUGGGGGAAAAGCUUAAAUUGUACAUGAAAACUGUUUAAAACAUUUUAGGAAUGUCAGCUUAGUACAACUGACACCUGGAUUGCCUAAUUCCAUAAUUCAGGAAGCUCCCCACUCACCUCCACAAAAAAUUAGUUUGAAUUGAUUAUAUUUAAUUAUAUUUGAAUGCCUGAAACUGAACGAUCCCAAUGCCCACUGCGUUGUUCAUAACAUUUGAAGCAUGUGGUCUGACUCCAGAAAGCCCCUACCUCGGCAUGUUCACGCUCACAAACAUGUCGAAACUGGCCCUAUUUUUAGUCGACCUUUAAGAUUAUACAGCCUUAUACCUGAGUCUACCUUUGAUUUCAGCCUCUUUAAUUUGAAUCCUUCAACCCUGUGGAGUUUUCUAAAUAAGCUCUGCCAGCUGCUAUCAAUACAGGCAGACUCACACCCCAACUUGGGUGGCACUGACUCCAUUUCCUCAAAGAUAACACAGAAAACAGAAAAAAUAAAAUUAAAAAAAAGGCCGGUGUGGUGGCUUACACCUGUAAUUCCAACACUUUGGGAGGCCGAAGCUGGCAGAUAACCUGAGGUCAGGAGUUUGAGACCAACGCGGCCAAGAUGGUGAAACCCUGUCUCUACUGAAAAUACAGAAAUUAGCUGGACAUAGUGGUGCAUCUGUAGUCCCAGCUACUCAGGAGGCUGAGGCAGGAGAAUCAUUUGAACUCAGGAGUGUGGGUAAUCCCCCACAUAGGCACCGAGGAAUGAGAGCUAAGCAGAACCCUGGCACAGUUAGGGCUUGAGGAAUAUCUCACUUUACAGUGUUACUACUCAGCUAUUUCCUUUUAUAUAACCCUUUACAUAAUCAUUUAUUAGUUUAUAGAAAUAUGGCUUGACGAAUCCCUUUAUAUAAUCCUCUAUAUAUAAUCAUAUAAUAGUUGAUAGUAUGAGUGCCUAAAGAAUAUUUCCCUACAUAUAUACCUAUAUCUUAGUUCAUAAUCGGAGGAAUGCCUAGAGUGGACACAGUACAGAGCAUGAAUUAAGGAAUAAGCAGCUUAUAAUCGGAGGAAUGCCUAGAGCAGACACAGUGCAGAGCAUGAUUUAAGGGAAAAACAGUUAUGCCAGGACAAGAAUCCAUGGCCCACGCGGCAGCGUUCAGUAUCAUAAAGAUACCCGCUGUAUGGCAGGCUUGGGGCGAGAGCCACUCCUCCUGAUAAAGGAAUUGUAGGACCUUGCUCCAGUUCUUGUGGAAGGCUGCCCUCAGAACGCCAAUCCACCUUGGUGACUGUGAACUUUAUCAGCUCUUGCUACUGUGCUGCUUGAACAGCAUCUUCCCGUAGAACCCAUUGGAAGCUGCCAGAAGAUGGCAGUAACCCUGACAGCUCUGUCACUGCUAUGUGACUUAGAGCAUCCUCCUAUAAAUCUUUCUAGAAGUAGUUUGACCAUAGAUAGAAGUAUUGCACACUGCACAAGGCCCACCUUCAAACCUCGGUGACCUAAUGGGGGUGGACCCCUUACUGCGCACGGCCCUUGCCUUCGUGGGAAUGGGCCCCUUGCUGUGCACUGUCCACCUCCUGGCCUGGGUGACCUAAUGGGGGUAGACCCCAUGUUUUAUUGCUCAAACCCUAUCACUAUCCUUAAAGAUGAUUUCACUCACUGCCCUUCCCCCUAACCUAUACACAAUAAAUACUCAUGCUUCUGGACAUUCGGGGCCUCGCCUGACUCUGCUUAUAGGUGGCGUGGCCCCCGAGCCCAGCUGUGUUUUUCUUGUACUUCUGUGUCCUGUCUCUUUAUUUCUUCGAUCCUGCACCUCAGUACAGCAUAAGGCUCACCCCACGACCCUGUGGGGCCCUCAGCCCUACAAGGAAGUGGAGGUUGCAGUGAGCCAAGAUUGGGCCACUGCACUCCAGCCUGGGUGACAGAGUGAGACUUCAUCUCCAAAAAAAAGAGAGAGAGAGAAAAGAAAUCAACCUCUAAAGACACUAGGCUUUAUGUAUCAAGGGUCUUUAGCAUACAGUAGUCCCCGCUUAUCCAUAGGGGAUCUGUUCCAAGACCCCCAGUAGAUGCCUGAAGCCACAGAUAGUACCAAACCCUGUAUACACUAUGUAUAUACCUGAGCAUACAGGCCUGCCAUAGAGUUUAAUUUGUUAAUUAGGUACAGUACUCUUGUGCUUUGGAGCCAUUAUGUCAAACAAGGGUGACCUGAACAGAAACACAGCAAUGUGGUGACAGCUGAUGGGCACCUUCAGCCUAAGUGACUGAAGGGCAGGGAGCAGGCCCGGUGUGGGGAUGAUGGACAAAGAAAGGGGUCACGUCCCAGGCGAGAUGGAGAGAGACUGUGUCACGCUACUCAGAAUGGAGUACCAUUUAAAAUUGAUGAG